rnacentral:snoRNA from 1 species
CAGGAUCAGUGAUGCAACUAUUAAAACUGCGUUAUCUUUCUGCAACCUUUUAAGGUGCUGAAGAACACAUUACCUGCUGAGAUCCGUG